CCUACGGGCGGCAGCAGUGGGGAAUAUUGGACAAUGGGGGGAACCCUGAUCCAGCCAUGCCGCGUGUGUGAAGAAGGCCCUCGGGUUGUAAAGCACUUUCAGUGAGGAAGAACGCCUGGUGGUUAAUACCCAUCAGGAAAGACAUCACUCACAGAAGAAGCACCGGCUAACUCCGUGCCAGCAGCCGCGGUAAUACGGAGGGUGCGAGCGUUAAUCGGAAUUACUGGGCGUAAAGCGCGCGUAGGUGGCUUGAUAAGCCGGUUGUGAAAGCCCCGGGCUCAACCUGGGAACGGCAUCCGGAACUGUCAAGCUAGAGUGCAGGAGAGGAAGGUAGAAUUCCCGGUGUAGCGGUGAAAUGCGUAGAGAUCAGGAGGAAUACCAGUGGCGAAGGCGGCCUUCUGGACUGACACUGACACUGAGGUGCGAAAGCGUGGGUAGCAAACAGGAUUAGAUACCCCGGUAGUC
rnacentral:rRNA from 1 species